rnacentral:lncRNA from 1 species
UCUGGCUUGUUUCCAGGGUGUGAAGGGCAUCACCUCAAACUCCCUUGACAACAAGAUGAGACCAUUCAAGGAACAUCGUUACGCUCUUGGCAGGAUUCUAUGUCAUCAAGAAGAGAUUGAAUGAAGAUCUUGAGAGAAUGUUGGCUGACAGACGAUAAGAAGUCAAGAAGAUGACAGUCUACACACCAAGUCAACUCAUCACCUUUAUUCCAUGGAGCCUUGCAUCAUUCACCUACCACCAUGCCAGUCCAGUCGCCAUGGCAACUAAACAGCCUCAAGCCCUGCCUCCAACAGCUAUUGGAUAAGAUCGGCAGAAGUGAGCGUAGUCAAGGGCAACACAAGACACCUGUCAGCUUUGUUGUUGUACCUGUCAGUGAUCUGGGUUACCCUGUUGGUUCACUAGGGAGUAGCAUCUGGGCUUAUACACCAGACACCUGUCAGCCGGUUUGGUGAGCAACAUGAGCCAAUGUCUGGCAUGCAUCAUAACAUGGCCAUGGGAGAUGGGGGAGGGGUGACAACUCACGGAAUGGCAGGAACGGUCUGAAACCCAGUAGCUACCAUGCAACUUCAUGGCACCAACCCAAAGGUGUGGGGAGCAUUAAGGGAACUGGUCAUGUGACAUGAGGACACCUCUCCAUCCAUACCUACAGAGGGCGCUGUUCAUCACAUUCGCAGCAUCCACGAGAGAUAGUUAAGUUAAUACAUUUUUCAUACAUGUAGAUGUCCAGCACCCAUAGAGGGCGCCAUAAUGCUAUCUGGUUUGUUCACAGACAUAUUGACACAUACAUGUAGAUUGCCAGUUGUGUGCUUGAAACUGUGAUUUGAUAAAGUACCGCACAAAUUUAAUGUAUGGGCAAAACGUGACAUUUGUUGACAGCGCGCAAAAAUGCUGUUUGGGUUCAAUGUGCCGACGCGCCUAGAACGCUACAUAAAAUAGCUGUAUUACUCAAAAUUUUCAUAAAAGUGUCGGGUAACGUAUUGGUUUAAGUCUACAUGUGGUAAAUCAUAUACUCAAGGGAAUCAUUUUUACAAUAAAAAAAAUUUACUUCAUUGAA